CUGCGGUGUGUAUUUACCUGUUUUAAAGAAAGCGCUGUAGUAGGUAACCUUGACAUCGUCAUCUCUGGCAGGUCGUGAAACAAGCCUGAAACGAGAGGCGGAAGUUGUGGUGCCACUGACAGCGUCUGAUUCAGUGUGUCUCCCCCCGGUGGACGGAGGACCGCAGCACAGGCGCCUCUAACGGCUGCAGAUACCUUCAGGUUCAGAGAGUGAAGGUAGCAGUUGCUCCUGAAGGUCAGAGAUUGCAGCAUCUGAGGGCCUCUUCAAAAGAAGACGUAGUUGAUGAAGGCGUUCUGGAGCAGGACCAGAAAUACCACGACCAAGCAGCCUUGAGAUCUUAGGCAGCAUCUCCCUCGGACCAAAGAACUACAGACUCUUCACAACCUGCUCAAACUCUUGGUACAGGACCUCACCACACGGGUCAAGAAGGUUUCCUUCUCAUUUCUACUCUGAAGCUCACCUUCUCCUGCUCAAACUGCUGACAAAUGUUUCUGCUGCACUAAAGUCUGGUCUCCAGAACUUCCUAAAAACUCUCAAAGUCUCUUCUGCUGCAGGUUGCUUUGUAGAACUGUUACAGAAAACCUCACUAAACCAUAUGGAGGGGCCUCAAGAUAGUCGUCCAAAUGACACCAUACAAAAACCAAACUAGUACAACCCAAACACUAAAGUCUCCUGCAGCCUACCAGAGAACCUCUGAGAACAGAGAAUCAGGACAGGAACUCUUACCUUCUGGACAACCAACCUUGGUUCACAAACAAGAAUACAGAAUGUGUCUCACCAAAAACCUCUAAAGACUCACUACAGCCAAGAUAAAGACACAACUCAGCUGCACCAAAUCCACUAAUCACUGCACACAUUGGCACCAUGUGCUAACUGUGGCUAAAGAACCACAUUUACCAAGACAGCUAUCCGGUACAAAGCCCUAAAACACACCAAGAAACACAUUAAAGACGAUUUUACUGCUGGAAGCUGCAAGCCAAUGCCUAAAGAACAAACUAAAGCAAUGGAGCCAAACCCGGUUCUGUGGUGGAGAGCAGAGGAAAUGUUUGUCUGCAGCUAAAUAAAGCAGGAAGACACUGAGCUGCUCAGGUGUUCCUGAUAACACCAAGCAGCCACCUGGACAGCCAAUAGGAACACAGCUUACUGGGAGUCCAGAGGGCUGGGUUAGUCAAGUAAAUUUAGUUUAAAGUUGAAGCAGAAAAUUAACAAAGACAGUUGAAAACCACCUUCUGAUACCUGAAAUCUCUAAGUUUUCACACAAAGAACACCUGAACAUGUCAAACUGGUUCCAUAGUAGAACCAUCAUUGUAAAAACGUCAUAGUAUGGUGUGUUGCUCAAAAAACAUUACGACUUGGCUGUCUAGGGUUGCCGAGUAGCAACACAAAAACAGGACAAACGCUGGUUUCCAGGGGGUUAGGAGGCUAUUUAUUUGAAAGAGUACGUUUACAACAACACAUGUGAGCAGAAAAAUCACAAAGUCUGUAUUUAGUUCAGCUGAAAAUAUUAGUUUUUGUCUUUUUUAUUGAUCAAACUUUUCAGGAAGUAGAUGAAGAAUAAUUAAACCUCUCAUGUAUAAGUCCAACUUAUUUUGGAUCCUUGUGGAGAGGUUAAUCUUAGAGUUUGUAAAGCUGUUGAGUUUUUAGAAUCACAUGGAUUGUUUUGACAUUUAAUAACCGAGUCCUGAAAUAAAAUUACAGUUGUGGA